GAACUGCUGAAUAGUCCCAUAAUAAGACGAAACGGCCGUCCAGUGC
rfam:Schistosoma rodhaini strain Burundi genome assembly, scaffold: SROB_scaffold0001639